GAUUUAUUUGGGUUUUAUGCUCUGUUCUUCAAUUUAAUGCUUUUUACUUUCAUUAUUGACCUUGAUAAUUGUUGCUUCCGGAACUGAGCAUUUUUGCUGCCAAAUUAAUGUUUCGUGCACGGCUGAACAAGCCAGGAGGAGCCAAGAGCCACUCCAGCAUAUAAAUCCACAGACGUUUCUAGAUUUUGUUGCGAUUAUAAGCAUCACAACACGAGAGAACCAUUUAUUGAAAUUUUAUAAUGCUAUGUUAUUUAUUUCAGUCUUCCAGUAUUGCUUGAUUCUUUGGUUCACAGAAGAUCAUCAUCAUUGAAUAACCAUUGGAACACUGACCAACCAAACCCGGGUUUUACCUACCAAACUUACCUAUCAAACUCUUGCAAAACCGACCAAACCGUUGGUACACCGACCAAACUCGUGGCAUAAAUGCCAUCUGCCCAUUUGCUUAUGUCCCGCACUAAGGUAUUGUGGGCAUAACCUUGACCUGUCCUAUGCUCGUCACCAGUUAAUGGACAUCAAUACACUAGUCAGUUGACCGUGGCUUUGGUCUUCUAAACUGGCUCUAUUCCAGUAGUUUGUAGUAAAAUCGUCACACUACGUUGUCGUUUGUCUUAUAUUCAAUAUCCUGUCACGUUGAUCUAAACUGUCCUUAGAAAGCUGCGAUGGAGGUUAU